rnacentral:lncRNA from 1 species
UAGCAAUGGAGGUAGGGGCAACCGAUCUCGAGGUAAAUAGUGACUCCCAGCUGGUGAUCAAUCAGAUAACAGGGGCAUACCAGGCCAGAGACCCUACCAUGCAGAACUACCUAGCAAAGGUAAAGGCCAUAGAAGCCGAGCUCAAGGGUCGCGGGAUCACAGUCAGGUAUCAGAGAAUACCUCGGGAAGAGAAUGAAGAGGCGGACUUGCUUAGUAGAUUGUCUAGGGAAGAGCUGGAGCAACUCCCAGAUAAAGUAUACAUACAACAUGUCAGCACACCUGCUUUUAAUAAAACGGCC